UACGGGAGGCAGCAGUGGGGAAUAUUGCACAAUGGGCGAAAGCCUGAUGCAGCUAUGCCGCGUGUAUGAAGAAGGCCUUAGGGUUGUAAAGUACUUUCAUCGGGGAGGAAAAAACAAAACUAAUAAUUUUAUUUCUUGACGUUACCCGAAAAAGAAGCACCGGCUAACUCCGUGCCAGCAGCCGCGGUAAUACGGAGGGUGCUAGCGUUAAUCAGAAUUACUGGGCGUAAAGAGCACGUAGGUGGUUUUUUUAAAGUCAGAUGUGAAAUCCCCUGGGCUUAACCUAGGAACUGCAUUUUGAAACUGAAAUACUAGAGUAUCGUAGAGGGAGGUAGAAUUCUAGGUGUAGCGGUGAAAUGCGUAGAUAUCUGGAGGAAUACCUGUGGCGAAAGCGGCCUCCUAAACGAAUACUGACACUGAGGUGCGAAAGCGUGGGGAGCAAACAGGGAUUAGAUACC
rnacentral:rRNA from 1 species